UUAAAAAACAAAAAAACAAACAAACGCAAAACCACACACUCCCACUAUAUCAUUAAAUAAGAAAAACAAAAGAAUAAUUUAUAUGUGUUUUUAUAAUUUAUUAGUAGAAAAGAUUUUAUCUAACUCUUAUAAAACACAUAUAUACAGUCAAAUUAAGUUCAUAUGUAUAUAACACACAAGUUCCCAUAUAUACACAUCACACAAGUUCCCAUAUCUACACAUCACACAAGUUCCUGGUUUUCUUCUAAGACAUUCAUAAUCUAUUGAUUUUCUUUGAUGUUUUCUUUAAUGUUUUCUUUUUUCUAAUCCUAGUGUUAUAAUC
rnacentral:lncRNA from 1 species